UUCUGGGAAGGCCGGCAGCAAAGAUGGCGUUGGUGAUGUGUCGGCUGGCUGUCUGUCCGGCUGUCUGCCUGCCUGCCUGGCAGCGGGCUCUGAG
rnacentral:miRNA from 1 species